rnacentral:rRNA from 1 species
AUACCCUAUUAUAUUUUAACAAAAUUAGGUAGUAAUAAUGUUUUUAUAAAACCUAUGUAGUUUGGCGGCAUUUAAUCUCAUUAGAGGAACCUGCCUAUUAAUCGAUUCUCCACGGUAUAUUUCACUUUUAUUUAAAUUUUAUAUACCUCCAUCUCAAGGAUUAAUAUUUAUAUUCUUCCCAUAAUAGAAAUUCUAAAAAGUUAGGUAAAGGUGUAGACUACAUAAAAGUUGGGGUGGGUUACAAUAAAUCUUAUUUAAGGAUAUUUAAUUAAAAUUUUAGUUGAAAAAGGAUUUAUAAGUAAUUUAAGAAUAAUACUCCUUAAUGAAUUUGACAAAUAAUGUGC